GGGCCUGUAGCUCAGUUGGUUAGAGCAGUGGACUCAUAAUCCAUUGGUCGUAGGUUCGAGUCCUACCAGGCCCACCA
rnacentral:tRNA from 2 species